rnacentral:lncRNA from 1 species
AUGCACUUCGAUCAGUUUCAUAUGUAUAUCUAUCUAGUAAGCAUCUUUGCAUUUUUAUUUUCUCUCUAUUUGUUGCUGCUGUUAAUUGAUCAUUUUUUUUUAUUGCUUUCGCUGGGCAGCGAUGUGUUUUUUUUAACAAGCACUUGAAUCUCAUAGGGGGUGCAACUGUGCAAGGAAAGGUUCUUAAUUAAUUUGAAGUCUCGUAUGGAGAUUAGAUUGUGUUCAAGUCUUGCGGGGGAUGAUGUGAUACAUUUCUGCAACUUCAACUUAAGAAGGUCUACUGAAGCUCGAUAA